rnacentral:rRNA from 1 species
GGUUAAGCGACUAAGCGUACACGGUGGAUGCCCUGGCAGUCAGAGGCGAUGAAGGACGUGCUAAUCUGCGAUAAGCGUCGGUAAGGUGAUAUGAACCGUUAUAACCGGCGAUUUCCGAAUGGGGAAACCCAGUGUGUUUCGACACACUAUCAUUAACUGAAUCCAUAGGUUAAUGAGGCGAACCGGGGGAACUGAAACAUCUAAGUACCCCGAGGAAAAGAAAUCAACCGAGAUUCCCCCAGUAGCGGCGAGCGAACGGGGAGCAGCCCAGAGCCUGAAUCAGUGUGUGUGUUAGUGGAAGCGUCUGGAAAGGCGCGCGAUACAGGGUGACAGCCCCGUACACAAAAAUGCACAUGCUGUGAGCUCGAUGAGUAGGGCGGGACACGUGGUAUCCUGUCUGAAUAUGGGGGGACCAUCCUCCAAGGCUAAAUACUCCUGACUGACCGAUAGUGAACCAGUACCGUGAGGGAAAGGCGAAAAGAACCCCGGCGAGGGGAGUGAAAAAGAACCUGAAACCGUGUACGUACAAGCAGUGGGAGCACGCUUAGGCGUGUGACUGCGUACCUUUUGUAUAAUGGGUCAGCGACUUAUAUUCUGUAGCAAGGUUAACCGAAUAGGGGAGCCGAAGGGAAACCGAGUCUUAACUGGGCGUUAAGUUGCAGGGUAUAGACCCGAAACCCGGUGAUCUAGCCAUGGGCAGGUUGAAGGUUGGGUAACACUAACUGGAGGACCGAACCGACUAAUGUUGAAAAAUUAGCGGAUGACUUGUGGCUGGGGGUGAAAGGCCAAUCAAACCGGGAGAUAGCUGGUUCUCCCCGAAAGCUAUUUAGGUAGCGCCUCGUGAAUUCAUCUCCGGGGGUAGAGCACUGUUUCGGCAAGGGGGUCAUCCCGACUUACCAACCCGAUGCAAACUGCGAAUACCGGAGAAUGUUAUCACGGGAGACACACGGCGGGUGCUAACGUCCGUCGUGAAGAGGGAAACAACCCAGACCGCCAGCUAAGGUCCCAAAGUCAUGGUUAAGUGGGAAACGAUGUGGGAAGGCCCAGACAGCCAGGAUGUUGGCUUAGAAGCAGCCAUCAUUUAAAGAAAGCGUAAUAGCUCACUGGUCGAGUCGGCCUGCGCGGAAGAUGUAACGGGGCUAAACCAUGCACCGAAGCUGCGGCAGCGACGCUNNNGCGUUGUUGGGUAGGGGAGCGUUCUGUAAGCCUGUGAAGGUGUGCUGUGAGGCAUGCUGGAGGUAUCAGAAGUGCGAAUGCUGACAUAAGUAACGAUAAAGCGGGUGAAAAGCCCGCUCGCCGGAAGACCAAGGGUUCCUGUCCAACGUUAAUCGGGGCAGGGUGAGUCGACCCCUAAGGCGAGGCCGAAAGGCGUAGUCGAUGGGAAACAGGUUAAUAUUCCUGUACUUGGUGUUACUGCGAAGGGGGGACGGAGAAGGCUAUGUUGGCCGGGCGACGGUUGUCCCGGUUUAAGCGUGUAGGCUGGUUUUCCAGGCAAAUCCGGAAAAUCAAGGCUGAGGCGUGAUGACGAGGCACUACGGUGCUGAAGCAACAAAUGCCCUGCUUCCAGGAAAAGCCUCUAAGCAUCAGGUAACAUCAAAUCGUACCCCAAACCGACACAGGUGGUCAGGUAGAGAAUACCAAGGCGCUUGAGAGAACUCGGGUGAAGGAACUAGGCAAAAUGGUGCCGUAACUUCGGGAGAAGGCACGCUGAUAUGUAGGUGAGGUCCCUCGCGGAUGGAGCUGAAAUCAGUCGAAGAUACCAGCUGGCUGCAACUGUUUAUUAAAAACACAGCACUGUGCAAACACGAAAGUGGACGUAUACGGUGUGACGCCUGCCCGGUGCCGGAAGGUUAAUUGAUGGGGUUAGCGNAAGCGAAGCUCUUGAUCGAAGCCCCGGUAAACGGCGGCCGUAACUAUAACGGUCCUAAGGUAGCGAAAUUCCUUGUCGGGUAAGUUCCGACCUGCACGAAUGGCGUAAUGAUGGCCAGGCUGUCUCCACCCGAGACUCAGUGAAAUUGAACUCGCUGUGAAGAUGCAGUGUACCCGCGGCAAGACGGAAAGACCCCGUGAACCUUUACUAUAGCUUGACACUGAACAUUGAGCCUUGAUGUGUAGGAUAGGUGGGAGGCUUAGAAGUGUGGACGCCAGUCUGCAUGGAGCCGACCUUGAAAUACCACCCUUUAAUGUUUGAUGUUCUAACGUUGACCCGUAAUCCGGGUUGCGGACAGUGUCUGGUGGGUAGUUUGACUGGGGCGGUCUCCUCCUAAAGAGUAACGGAGGAGCACGAAGGUUGGCUAAUCCUGGUCGGACAUCAGGAGGUUAGUGCAAUGGCAUAAGCCAGCUUGACUGCGAGCGUGACGGCGCGAGCAGGUGCGAAAGCAGGUCAUAGUGAUCCGGUGGUUCUGAAUGGAAGGGCCAUCGCUCAACGGAUAAAAGGUACUCCGGGGAUAACAGGCUGAUACCGCCCAAGAGUUCAUAUCGACGGCGGUGUUUGGCACCUCGAUGUCGGCUCAUCACAUCCUGGGGCUGAAGUAGGUCCCAAGGGUAUGGCUGUUCGCCAUUUAAAGUGGUACGCGAGCUGGGUUUAGAACGUCGUGAGACAGUUCGGUCCCUAUCUGCCGUGGGCGCUGGAGAACUGAGGGGGGCUGCUCCUAGUACGAGAGGACCGGAGUGGACGCAUCACUGGUGUUCGGGUUGUCAUGCCAAUGGCACUGCCCGGUAGCUAAAUGCGGAAGAGAUAAGUGCUGAAAGCAUCUAAGCACGAAACUUGCCCCGAGAUGAGUUCUCCCUGACNCUUUAAGGGUCCUGAAGGAACGUUGAAGACGACGACGUUGAUAGGCCGGGUGUGUAAGCGCAGCGAUGCGUUGAGCUAACCGGUACUAAUGAACCGUGAGGCUUAACCUU